GAAAGAAAAAGCAUCCUUCAUCAGAGAGAGGCGAGUGCUGUUUUUGUGUGCGCGGCCAUCUUUGCUUUCUGGCCCAGGCCCGUCCGUUCGUCGUCCGCGUCAGAGGGGAAAAAACGGGAAUUUGGCCGGGAUUUUCGCGUUCCGAGUGUGUGGCUCCGGUGAGAAAGUGGUCCGGCGAGGGCCGUCGAAACGGUGCGACCGAGAGUGAAACAUACAAAACGACUAAAAGUUGGUUAUAGUUGUCGAGUGAGCAAAACCCAAACAGCAACAAAAAGCUUGUGGAGUAAAUAAGCAAAGUGAAGAAAGUGGUAACAACACGCCGUGAAUAUAUGAGGAAAACAAGUCGUCGCAAAAGGCGAAAAAAGGCAGAAAGCAGAAGCAAGCAAGGAAGGUGGCAUUCAAAUGUGUCGUUUGGGUUUGCGCAGCAAAAGUGUAGUAAAGUCGCCAGUCGAAAGUUUCGCCCCGAAAAACAGCCAACCGAAGCAGCAGCAACAACAAUGAUUGUUGUGUGGUGGUGAAAAUUUGCUGAAUUGUGUUUUUGGAGCUCUUUCUCUUUCUUCCUUAACUUUUUUUUUUGCAAUUUGCUUGAACGUAAUUUUGUGCAACGAUAAGACCCCGGAAGUGUGCGGUGUGGUUCCAGGUGUAAGCACGGGAAUCUAGCGAAAUAUUAACCAGCAAAACAAAGAACCUUCGCUCGAACAGGGUUCAACGACGACGAAGCCAGGCUAGGCGAAUACCACCGAUGAGUCUGAGGUCAACCGGCGCGCGGUGCGGUCAAACCAAAGCAAAUCUACUACAACUACUACUAUAAGGCAGCACUUUAUCACUGGCCGUCCAAUCCUUUCCGAAUCGCUCCGUGGGUUCGUGGCCGCGAAUCAGCAGCCUGCAGCAGCCAUGUGGAGUUCAAGUAAUGGGUCGGGAGGAGGUGGUGGCGCUUCUGCGGCGGCGGCGGCGGCAGCUGCAGCGACAACUGGCAGCAACAAAACUCUGGGCAUGACGUCGGCCAUCAGCUUGGCGGAACCGAAGCCGGAAGACCACACCAAGACGGUGGAGCUGCAGAAGGCGCUCGAGCCGUACAACGUGUUCGAGGACGAGUCCGAGCUGAACCACCGGAUGGAGAUUCUGUCCAAGCUGAACACGCUGGUCAAGCAGUGGGUGCGCGACGUGUCCAUCUCGAAGAACAUGCCGGAAGCGCUGGCCGAGAAGCUCGGCGGGAAGAUCUACACGUUCGGGUCGUACCGGCUGGGCGUGCACCACAAGGGGGCGGAUAUUGACGCGCUGUGCGUGGCGCCGCGCAACAUCGAACGGCAGGACUACUUUGGGUCGUUCUUCGAGCUGCUGAAGAAACAGCCCGAGGUGACGGAGUGCCGGGCCGUCGAGGAGGCGUUCGUGCCGGUCAUCAAGAUGAACUUUGACGGGAUCGAGAUUGAUUUGCUGUUUGCGCGGUUGGCGCUGAAGGAGAUUCCGGACAACUUUGACCUGCGCGACGAUAUGCUGCUGAAGAAUCUGGACCCCAAGUCGGUGCGCAGUCUGAACGGGUGCCGCGUCACGGACGAGAUCCUGCGGCUGGUGCCGAACAUUGACAACUUUCGGCUGGCGCUGCGCUCGAUCAAGCUGUGGGCGAAGAAGCAUGGAAUCUACUCCAACUCGUUGGGUUACUUUGGAGGUGUGUCGUGGGCUAUGCUGGUGGCGAGGACGUGCCAGCUCUACCCGAAUGCCGUCGCGGCCACGCUGGUGCACAAGUUCUUUCUGGUGUUUUCGCGCUGGAAGUGGCCCCAGCCGGUGUUGCUGAAGCAGCCGGACACCGUGAAUCUGGGCUUUCAAGUGUGGGAUCCGCGGGUGAACGUGCAGGACCGGUUCCACCUGAUGCCGAUCAUCACGCCGGCGUAUCCGCAGCAAAACUCGACCUUCAACGUGUCCAGCUCGACGCGGAAGGUCAUGCUGAACGAGUUCAACCGCGGCAUGCAGAUCACGGACGAAAUCAUGCUCGGCAAGGCCGGCUGGGACAAGCUGUUCGAGGCGCCCAGCUUCUUCUUCAAGUAUCGCCACUUUAUCGUACUGCUGGUCACCUCGAACAACGCCGACGACCACCUCGAGUGGUGCGGCCUGGUCGAGUCCAAGAUUCGCUACCUGAUCCAGAACCUGGAGCGAAAUCUGCACAUCAACCUGGCCCACGUCAAUCCGAAGUGCUUCGAGCAGCAGGAGCAAAAUCAGAAAGACGACGGCGGCGAGGGCGGAAAGACGACACUCUGCUCGCUCUGGUUCAUCGGGCUGGAGUUUGAGCGGUCAGAGAACCUGAACGUGGACCUGACCGAAAGCAUCCAGAACUUUACCGAUGCCGUGCACAAACAUGCGGUGCACAUCAAGGUCCUCAAGGACGGCAUGAAGAUCGAGGCGCGGCACGUCCGGCGGAAGCAGCUCAACCAAUACCUCGACCCGAACCUGCUCAAGCGGGAGCGUAAAAAUUCCGACUCGGGACUCGGCUCGACGGUGCUCAACACGAGCGGCGGUGCCGCAGCGGGCAACAACACCAGCGGCAGCGGAACGACCCUUCGCAAGCGACAGUCCUCGGAGGCGCUCCAGGCGGCUGUCGCCAGCAAAAAAGGAAGGAACGAUUCCUUCGACCAUUCGCUGUCGAAUUCCUCCUCGUCGCAGCAGUCGUCCAUUUCGACGACCACGCCGGCGGCACCCGCACCCACACCAUCCGCCGAGGCGCCGGCCAACGGUGACGGCGAAGCCGUCGGCGGUGUCGAAAGUGCGGACGCCGCCGCCGCCGCCGUGCUAACCCUGGACGAGUCUUCGUCGGAGAUGAACCAGGUGCCCAACUCGACGACGGCGACUCCGGCGCCAGCACCGGCUCCGGAAGUGGUCUGCUCCUGACGGCCCCCGCCGAAUCCGUUCCGAAAGGUGAACCACACCGCCAACGGGAGUGGUGGAGGAGGAAGAGGAGGAGGAGGCGGUACCGGAAGCGGCGGCAGCAGCUACCCGAACACCACCACGAGCCGGGUACAGUUUGCAGAAGUUCAAUCAUCGUAGAUGAAUGAUUGAUUCGCUUCCCUCCUUGCUCCCGAGAAAGAACCCCAACACAGUUGAAACAUAUGAUUAUUAUGUGCAGAAGAGGUAAGAAAGUGAAGAAAAAUAACUCUAAAUAUUCAAACGGACGAUUUGGGAAAUUGACGAGGUAGCAGCGUAAGGGAUUUAAACAAACAAAGUAAAAUCUUAAACACACACAUUGAAAAAAAAAGAGAUUGACAAAAAAAAACUUAUCAUAAAUGUGAAAAAAGAACAUUCUGUAAAUAGUUACGAAAAAAUAUCAACUCAAACAUAACUUUUGGGUAGGAUCAGCCCCCGUCAGGAGUUUUUGUUUCGUAAGACAGUAAGAUUUAUACUACUUUUUAUUUAUACUAAAAACACACACACACACACACAUAAUAACAAUCAUACUUUUUGUUUUAGUUUCAUAAAGUCUCACUUUCUAGCGAGAAAGUGAGCCAUUUAGGCGCGUGUGCGCACGCGCGCCCGCUCAGCUGUUGUUCUCAUUUUUAUAUAAACACGAGAAAGAGCUGGAUUAUGAUUUUUUGUUUAAAUAGCUAACACACACACACACUUUUUUUUCACACACUUACAAAAUUCACCAACCAAACAGACAGAGAAAGCAGGAAACUACUUUCGACACUAUAGUUGCGAUCAAAAAGUGCAAUCAUUCGUAGUUUUGUGAAGACACAGUUUGAAAAGAAAACAAUUAUUGAAGAUUUGCGGGGAGAGGAAGAAAAAAAUAGUCGAAGGAUAAACUAAGCAGAACAGAAACUAAAACAAACGCAGAGACAGUUGAAUGUUUAGCAGAUUAUUUGUUAGUGGUACAUUUUCACGCGUAGAGUUUCCGAUUCGAUGGAAAAGCAAACCCCCUUUUUGGUGAGGGAGAAGAAAAAGAAGAGCAUAUUUUACGUAACAACAUAUUUGUAAAUAGUAAAACACACCAUUCACUAUGGCUAUUUUCCACACACACACACACCUACUGAGGGGCAAGUAAAGUGACUUGCAGUAGAGAAGUGCUGAGCUGGGAGAAGAAUUCGAGGGAGAAACAUCUGUAAUUGAACUUAUAUUAAUUUACUUAAAUAAAAAAAUGCAGAGACGGGAAAAAGUAAUUCUUUGAAGAGAG